rnacentral:rRNA from 1 species
UACAGAGGUCCCGAGCGUUGUUCGGAUUCAUUGGGCGUAAAGGGUGCGUAGGUGGCGCUGUAAGUGGGGUGUGAAAUCCCGGGGCUUAACUCCGGAACUGCAUUCCAUACUGCGGUGCUUGAGGACUGGAGAGGAGACUGGAAUUUACGGUGUAGCAGUGAAAUGCGUAGAUAUCGUAAGGAAGACCAGUGGCGAAGGCGAGUCUCUGGACAGUUACUGACGCUGAGGCACGAAGGCCAGGGGAGCAAACGGG